CCUACGGGAGGCAGCAGUGAGGAAUAUUGGACAAUGGCCGCAAGGCUGAACCAGCCAAGUCGCGUGAAGGAAGAAGGAGCUAUGGUUUGUAAACGUCUUUUAUCGGGGAAUAAAGGUAUCCACGUGUGGAUAUUUGCAUGUACCCUAUGAAUAAGCAUCGGCUAACUUCGCGCCGGCAGCCGCGGCAAUACGGAGGAUGCGAGCGUUAUGCGGAUUUAUUGGGUUUAAAGGGUAAGUAGGUUGUUUGUUAAGUCAGCGGUGAAAGUGUGUGGCUUAACCAUAAAAUUGCCGUUGACACUGGUAGACUUGAGUGUGUUUGAGGGAGGCGGAAUGCGUGGUGUAGCGGUGAAAUGCAUAGAGAUCACGCAGAACUCCGAUUGCGAAGGCAGCCUACUAAGCAAUAACUGACACUGAGGCACGAAAGCGUGGGGAUCAAACAGGAUUAGAUACCCGGGUAGUC
rnacentral:rRNA from 1 species